GGCGCAGUGGCGGAGUGGUUAUCGCGCAAGACUAGAACUCUUAAUUGUAAAAUAUUCUGAGUAGCGAAUCUUGUUCCUUCGGGAGCGUCUGUUCGAAUCAGGCCUGCGUCG